rnacentral:rRNA from 1 species
AUUGAACGCUGGCGGCAGGCUUAACACAUGCAAGUCGAGCGGGGAAAAGUAGCUUGCUACUGGACCUAGCGGCGGACGGGUGAGUAAUGCUUAGGAAUCUGCCUAUUAGUGGGGGACAACAUCUCGAAAGGGAUGCUAAUACCGCAUACGUCCUACGGGAGAAAGCAGGGGACCUUCGGGCCUUGCGCUAAUAGAUGAGCCUAAGUCGGAUUAGCUAGUUGGUGGGGUAAAGGCCUACCAAGGCGACGAUCUGUAGCGGGCCUGAGAGGAUGGUCCGCCACACUGGGACUGAGACACGGCCCAGGCUCCUACGGGAGGCAGCAGUGGGGAAUAUUGGACAAUGGGGGGAACCCUGAUCCAGCCAUGCCGCGUGUGUGAAGAAGGCCUUUUGGUUGUAAAGCACUUUAAGCGAGGAGGAGGCUACCGAGAUUAAUACUUUUGGAUAGUGGACGUUACUCGCAGAAUAAGCACCGGCUAACUCUGUGCCAGCAGCCGCAGUAACAC